GACCAUAUAAAUAAAACAAACUUCCUUUGACAAUAAGUUUCUAAUUAAAUCAUGGCUGCGCCUGGGCAGCGUUAUUGUGAGAGUAAAAGUGGACGUGCUGCUACUCCCCUCAUUCCCAACAUGUAUCAAGUACCUGCAUUGAGUAAUGCAAGAGUGAGAUGACACAUCUCAGCAAGUAAAAUAAUAUCAAACAGUUUAACCACAUAAGAACAUUGUUUUACCACCACUUUAUUCCACAACCUUCUUAUUACGAAGGUGCAGCACGUAUACAACGUACAACACACCUAGUUACCACACCUCGCAGGUAGAAACCACAACAGUAACAUAGUAAUGUCACACUUCAUAUAUUCCCCAUGAGUGCAAAUGUCUGCAAAUGCAAGGAUGACUUCUGCCUUCAUACCACUAAGGAUAUGAAGCCGCAUCGUACCCCUCCUCGGGCAACGUACGAUGCUAAAAAUGUACUGGUAUGGUCGAACCAUAAGAUCACGACAUAACUUCAAAAUGCAAGAUGGAUGAUGUGAUGUGCAUGUCAUGCCUACAACACUUCAUAUAACAUGAUUAAAAAAGAUACUUCAACUUCAUCCAAGAUGGGAAUCAACCACAUAUAUCAUUACCAAAUUAUGAUCAUCCACAAUAUUAGACAAUUGAGAAUUAAUACUUCCAAACAAAUAAAGUUUAUCAUAGAAUUCAAUGAUUAACAUAAUUAAAACUUAUGCAUACUCAAUGACAGGGAAUAGGAUGCAAACCAAAUGGUAGCAACCACCACUGUAUUUACUUGCCUUUACCGGAAGUUCGGGCAAAUCCCUAAGUACGAUCCGGAAGUCCACCACCUGUUUUUGGCACCCAACUUAGUGCACCAAUUUCACAUAAUCAGGCUCAUAAGCGACGCCGCACCUACGCACAAACUCAAACCCCGCCGCUGGUUACAUCUCUCCCUACACCCACCAAACUGCAGCGGCGCUGCUUAAUAAUUUCAUAACUUUAAAAUUAUGACAACAGUGGUAACAAACAAAAACUCCAGAGGCAUCUACAUAAAAUUCCCCACAAGUUUUGUAUAUUAUAAUUAAAUUCCAAUAUCUAAUUAGCCCAAAAUAGUCCACAAGAUGAACCCUGUAAUCUGUUUUUCUUUAUCUUUUGGACAGCGACAUACCCGGAUUCAAACAGCGAUAUCUUUUAAAAUAUAAUUCCAAAUCAAGCGCAAAAGUACUCAUUAGAAAGAUAAGACAAAUACCUACAUGAUUAUUAUACUGGUUAACACUAAUUACCCACGAAAAAUUCCCAGAAACUGCUAAUACCACUGCUGUUCACCCACCUGAAAAAUCUGUUUUUUGGACAGCAACAUAACCGGAUUCAAACAACGAUAUCUCAUAAAUUAUAACUCCGAAUCGAGCGCAUAAGUACUUGUUGGAAAGAUAACAUAAAGCACUACAUGAUUCUCAUACUGAUUAACACUAAUUACUCACGAAAAAUUCCCAGAAACUGCUAAUACCACUGCUGUUCACCCACCUGAAAAAUCUGUUUUUUUGGACAGCAACAUAACCGGAUUCAAACAACGAUAUCUCCUAAAUUAUAACUCUGAAUCGAGCGCAUAAGUACUUGUUGGAAAGAUAACAUAAAGCCCUACAUGAUUCUCAUACUGAUUAACACUAAUUACUCCCGAAUAAUCCCCAGAAACUGCUAAUACUGCUGCUGUUCAUCCCGUGAAAAUCUGUUUUUUUGACAGCCACCUACCCGGUUUCAAACGGUGAUAACUUUUAAUUUAUAACUCCAAAUUGAGCGCAUAAAUACUCGUUGGAAAGGUAUGCCAAAGUUCUACAUGAUUCCCAAACUGAUUCCCCUUAAUUCUCCACGAAAAAUGCCCAAAAAUCACUAAUUCUGCUGCUGUUCGUCCACCCCCUUAAAAUUCUGGACAGCCCUUCUACCAAAUCGCACACGCAACAUCUAAACAAUUGGAUUGCCGCAUAAAAUGAACAAGAGAUAAACACAAAAAUCACCUUGGGUUCUCCCCCUUUUCUUCCUCCCCUCCUCCCUCCACCGAAAACCGUUGAAGAUUUGCACCACGCGAUGGAGAUCCGAGCGGCAACGAAUGGCACCAUGGGAGGAGGAGAUGGGGGGGGCUAGGGUUUGAUGUGUGGCUGCAAGUGCUUGAGAAAG
rnacentral:lncRNA from 1 species